rnacentral:sRNA from 1 species
CGUCGAGCUGUCUGUCGCUACUACAAUAAUGACCUGCUCCGAAACCGGUGAGACCUGGUUUGACUGCUUGUGGGAAGGGUGCUGGAAAUACUCUCAGAGUCCCAGGCAGGAUACCAGCAGGGAGGGGAGGUUUCAUUUAAGUCUACCUGCUAGCUGACAGGUGUCAUUAUAUAUUCAGUGCUCAGCUCACCAGUCCUUCAAGCUAGACAGUGCCCCCCUCCUUUUAUAGAUGAGGAAAGUGAGAGUUAAAGCAAGUAGCCCAAGGUCACACAGCUAAUAACUGGCAGAGCUGGGCGUUGACCACAGAGUCUAUGCAGGAACUUGGGGAGAAACAGAGGAGCAGCCAUGCUGCGAGAGGGACUUAGGGUGAAGGGCUGGGGAGAAAGCCCUGUCUAGGACACAGGAGGCCUGGGUUUCAGGCCCAGCUCUGUCUGCCUCAUCAUGGGACUUAUCUUCUCUGGGGCUCAGUCUUCCCAUCUGUACAAAGAGGAACUCAAAGGAACCUGAAGGCACAGAGGCGGCUGGCCUGGGAUGGAUGUGGAGAGGACUUGCUAGCAGGGCUGGGGACAGGGAGCUGGUCACUUUCAGCUCUGAGGAGGUGAGGAGGGCACAGUUCCUGUGGGCUGGGACUGUCCACAGGGGGCUUCCUAGAAGAGGAAAAGUCAAACAAGGGCUUUGAUAGUUAAACAGGGGAGAGGGAAUCCGUUUGUUCUUGUGGCAGGUGGGGCAAUAUAAAAUUGUACUUGUCAGGCCCCCUGAGCCCUUGGGCUCGGAGAGAGGCAGGGCCAGCCCAGGCCACAGAGCAGAGUCCAGGACAGGGCGAUGAAGAUGGCAAGGCCUCUGCUCCCACCCAGGGCUCCUCUGCAGAGCCUCUCCCCCUCCUCCAGGGAAGAGCCCCAGCAGAGGUCAAUGUCUCCCUGAGGCCUCAGUAUCUCUGAUUUCACAAUGAGUGAUGACUGCUGACGUCCAUGCCCUGGCCUGGCAGCUCUUGAGUUCAAGGGUCCUCAUUCUUUCCCCAGGUUCAUCGGCCUCCAGUUCUUCUUCAAAACAGGUUCUGUGAUCUGCUUCGCCUUAGUUUUGGCUGUCCUGAGGCAGCAGGACAAAGAGGCAAGGACCAAAGAGAGCAGAUCCAGCCCUGCCGUAGAGCAGCAACUGCUAGUGUCGGGGCCAGGGAAGAAGCCAGAGGAUUCCCGAGUGUGAGCUGUCUUGGGGCCCCACCUGGCCAAGAGUAGCAGCCACAGCAGUACCUCCUCUGAGUCCUUUGCCCAAGAUUGGGUGUCAAGAGCCCUGUGUUCCAUUCUGGCUCCUCCACUAAAUUGCUGUGUGACUUCAGGCAAGACACCUAUCCUCUCUGAGCCUUUGCUUGCUAGUCUGAACCGAAGAGUUGUUUGGGCGUUUGCUGUGUUGGCCAUUUCUGAAGCAAGAGGGUCUUCCUCCUCCUUCCCCCAGCCAGCCAGCUGUCCUGCAGCCAGGCUUUCCUGGGUGGAAAGACUGUAUACCUUUCCCCGGGGCCCUAGGAUAGCAAAGUGAGCCAUAGUGGGCCAGGCUGUCCUCCAUGCUGGGCCCCAGCGCAGGUCUGCACUCGCCUGGAUCACCCUCUUUGAGCCUUAGCCAUCUCCUGUCAGGUGGGAAUGAACUUGCCAGCCUUCAGGCUCGCUCAGCUGUGACCAUCUGUGCGGUCAGGGUACACUCAGAUCUCCUCCCCAACUCCAGCAACCUUUAAGAAGUGUCCCUUUGGCGCCCCCUGGAGGCAGAGCACUGAGCUGGACCCUGGGUAAACUCCCGCAGGGAGGACGGAGCUGGCCUCAGGUGUGGGACACCCAGACUUGGCAGGGCCUUCAAGAGGCCUGUGUGGGGGCCCCAGGAAGCCUUAGCUGAAGCGGGGAGACUCACUCUCCAUCUCAGGAAGUUCUAGCCCUUGCCCUCAGGGAGCCACGGUUGAGGGUGAGGCCCAACACCUGCCUUAGGGCCCUGGGUGGGCAAGUCUGGGCCCUGGGGUAGGGAGGGAGACUCAGGCCCACACUUGGGUAUUUUCUAAUUUCAGACAAACACACACUCAGCGUGCACUCACUGAUUCCUACACAUUGCCAAUAUUUCACACGUGACCAGGGGCCACCAAAGUCCCUGUGACCUUUGUAACUAGGAUCCUAAUUUCUCUAUUUUCUCCUGGGUGCCUGGGUCUGUGUCACCUGGGGCAGUGUGGAUAAUGUUUAGUUCUGUGACACUGUUUUUUGGGGGUGGCACCUGGUUCUCUGAUGCCUGGGCUGGCAUCAGGCCCAGGACUGUAGAGCUGGGAGCAGUAAAGCUCAGCUCUGUGUAAUGAGUGAUGCUAUAGCUUGCUCGGGUCUUAUGAUCCAAUCCUUUUCUACAUCAGGCCUUGUUUUGUUUUAUGGCUAGUCUUAUCUGGCCUGGUUAUUUCCCUGCGGGGAGGAGAGAGUUUGCUAAUCGGCUCCCAGCCCAACCUAUUACCACCCCACCUCUCUGGGACCUGCUGCUUGGGAAGCAGCAGACAGGGAGCCACCAGCAGUGGCUUCCUGGCCCUGUGCUGGGGGUGGGGGGAAGCUGGGGGCACAUGUGGCCCUUGCCUUCUGAGCAGCUCCCAGUGCCAGGGCUUUGAGACUUUCCCACAUGAUAAAAGAAAAGGGAGCUACAGAAGUUCCAAUUCCCUUUUUAUUUUGCUGGUUGGUAUCUGUAAAUGUUUAACAAAUAUCUGAGCAUGUAUGUAUCAAUGCCAAGAAUUGCAAAGUAUCCUUCAACAAUAUGAGGCUUUUAGGAUGUUUAUAUUCCUUCAUCCCUCUUGUUUCCCAGGUUUUGCAGGGAAAAAAAGUCUGGAAUUAUAGAUACGGCUUAUUAUUAAAUUUGUUCUUGCAUAA